rnacentral:rRNA from 1 species
AACGAACGCUGGCGGCAGGCUUAACACAUGCAAGUCGAACGCCCCGCAAGGGGAGUGGCAGACGGGUGAGUAACGCGUGGGAAUCUACCCAGUUCUACGGAACAACUGAGGGAAACUUCAGCUAAUACCGUAUACGCCCUACGGGGGAAAGAUUUAUCGGAAUUGGAUGAGCCCGCGUUGGAUUAGCUAGUUGGUGAGGUAAUGGCUCACCAAGGCGACGAUCCAUAGCUGGUCUGAGAGGAUGAUCAGCCACACUGGGACUGAGACACGGCCCAGACUCCUACGGGAGGCAGCAGUGGGGAAUAUUGGACAAUGGGCGCAAGCCUGAUCCAGCCAUGCCGCGUGAGUGAUGAAGGCCUUAGGGUUGUAGAGCUCUUUCAGUGGGGACGAUAAUGACGGUACCCACAGAAGAAGCCCCGGCUAACUUCGUGCCAGCCGCCGCGGUAACAC